rnacentral:rRNA from 1 species
AAGAAGGGGUCUGCAGUUGAGUGAACAGCGUGAGGGAUCAUUG